CCCCCACUAGCUCAGUCAAUAGAACAUGAGACUCUUAAUCUUAGGGUCAUGGGUUCAAGCCCCAAGUUGGGCA
rfam:Cricetulus griseus cell line CHO-K1, whole genome shotgun sequence.